rnacentral:rRNA from 1 species
GACGAACGCUGGCGGCGUGCCUAAUACAUGCAAGUCGAGCGAAUCUUUAGGAGCUUGCUCCUAAAGGUUAGCGGCGGACGGGUGAGUAACACGUGGGCAACCUGCCUAUAAGACUGGGAUAACUCCGGGAAACCGGAGCUAAUACCGGAUAAUUCCUUUCCUCUCAUGAGGAAAGGCUGAAAGACGGUUUCGGCUGUCACUUAUAGAUGGGCCCGCGGCGCAUUAGCUAGUUGGUGAGGUAACGGCUCACCAAGGCAACGAUGCGUAGCCGACCGGAGAGGGUGAUCGGCCACGCUGGGACGGGGACACGGCCCAGACUCCUACGGGAGGCAGCAGGAGGGGAUCUUCCGCAAGGGACGAAAGUCUGACGGAGCAACGCCGCGUGAGUGAUGAAGGCUUUCGGGUCGUAAAACUCUGUUGUUAGGGAAGAACAAGUGCUAGUUGAAUAAGCUGGCACCUUGACGGUACCUAACCAGAAAGCCACGGCUAACUACGUGCCAGCAGCCGCGGUAAAAC